rnacentral:rRNA from 1 species
UACGUAGGGUGCAAGCGUUGUCCGGAAUUAUUGGGCGUAAAGAGCUCGUAGGCGGUCUGUCACGUCGGCUGUGAAAACCCGAGGCUCAACCUCGGGCCUGCAGUCGAUACGGGCAAACUGGAGUGCUGCAGGGGAGACUGGAAUUCCUGGUGUAGCGGUGAAAUGCGCAGAUAUCAGGAGGAACACCGGUGGCGAAGGCGGGUCUCUGGGCAGUAACUGACGCUGAGGAGCGAAAGCGUGGGGAGCGAACAGG